GGGGCUGAAUUUUAAGCUCGACGUUGGACUUUAACAAACUCAUAUGGCAGGCCGGAUUGAUCUGCACGUUAGCCGGAUCAAACAAGUAGUUGCAAGAAAUUCAACACUUAGCGAAGAACUAGUUGCUAGCCUAAAGGAAACUUUUGGUAUUCGUAGCGAACAAUUCGCACUAGCAGCCUAAUUAUUUAGACUGCCGUUACUAGUUCGACAUCAGAUAGAACUUUUUAGCGCUAUAUUUUUCUGAUUGCUAUGCAAUUAGUUGCCCCUAAUUGUAUCUAAGACUAAGGGCUGCAGCCAUUUAACGUUUUGUUUAUCUAUAGUCAUUUGGCUAAAGAAACAUCUAGAUAAACUAAGCCUGUAGUCAUUGAGUAAGUUAACUGACGGACGCGAGGGUAGUACUCGCCAGCUCCACCA
rnacentral:tmRNA from 1 species